GAAUCUGAAGGUUUGUCACUUUAAACUUUUAAUUUUCAUUUUCCAUAUAUAUUAUGUCUUAUGUAUUGUCAGUAUUUAGUUCAAAACAUUUUGAAUUUCAUGGCAUAAGAAUAUUAAAAAAUUGAAAUUUCACAAACAAGAUGGAUGCACGUGUGAAAUAAACUAGUGUAGAUCUUGUCCAACCACAAAACUGAAGUUGAUAAGUGGAGAGAAACUACACGUAUAUAAACAGCAUAUAAAUCUCAUAAUUAAGUGCCAUGGGAUAUUUCAACAUGCUGAUAUACUAAUUCAAAUAUAAUCUCCAGACCAUUUUUAAAAUCAAAAUAAUAUCUUGAAUGAUAAUAAAGAUAGCUCAAGCGAAAAACAUUUUUUCGCUCACAAAGAGUAAAGGAAGGUGAAAAAGGUUCGUUGAGUAAACCACCGCCUCUUCGCUUGCAUCUGCAUUUUAUUGGAACUUUGAGCAAGCACAAUGGUUACACUUGACCUAAAAACAAGGAGUGCAAAAGCCUUAAUUUGCAAUUUUUGCAGUCACGCCGCAAGCGGUGGUCAAUGAAGACUAUCGAUUAUGGUUUCAAGCCGCAGUGAAAGGUGAUUGGAAAGAAAUCGAGAUGAUCCUCAAUAAAAACCGCACAGCAAUGACAACCAGCAUUAUGAAAAUAGAAAGUGAUGACUUAACUAUGCUCGAUGUUGCGAUUAUGGCCGGACAAGAUCAGUUGGUCGAGAAGUUGGUCAAGC
rnacentral:lncRNA from 1 species